UUGCAUUUGAAGCCCAUGAGGAUGAGAACCUCCGGGGGCGGGGAGGUUCGACUCGAGCGAAGCGAGAGAACGUUGCGCCAGCAACGGCCCGCAGGGCGAG
rnacentral:sRNA from 2 species